rnacentral:rRNA from 1 species
GACAGAGGAUGCAAGCGUUAUCCGGAAUGAUUGGGCGUAAAGCGUCUGUAGGCGGCUUUUUAAGUCUGCCGUCAAAUCCCAGGGCUUAACCCUGGUCAGGCGGUGGAAACUACCAAGCUGGAGUACGGUAGGGGCAGAGGGAAUUUCCGGUGGAGCGGUGAAAUGCGUAGAGAUCGGAAAGAACACCAACGGCGAAGGCAGUCUGCUGGGCCGACACUGACGCUGAGAGACGAAAGCUAGGGGAGCGAAUGGG